UACGUAGGGUGCGAGCGUUGUCCGGAAUUAUUGGGCGUAAAGAGCUUGUAGGCGGUUUGUCGCGUCUGCCGUGAAAAUCCGGGGCUCAACCCCGGACUUGCGGUGGGUACGGGCAGACUAGAGUGUGGUAGGGGAGACUGGAAUUCCUGGUGUAGCGGUGAAAUGCGCAGAUAUCAGGAGGAACACCGAUGGCGAAGGCAGGUCUCUGGGCCACUACUGACGCUGAGAAGCGAAAGCCAGGGGAGCAAACGGG
rnacentral:rRNA from 1 species